UUAGGCUAGGCCAGCUUGGCGUUGGUUGUCCAAGUUUAAGGUGGUAGGCUGAAAUCUUAGGUAAAUCCGGGGUUUCAAGGCCGAGAGCUGAUGACGAGUCGUCUUUUAGAUGACGAAGUGGUUGAUGCCAUGCUUCCAAGAAAAGCUUCUAAGCUUCAGGUAACCAGGAACCGUACCCCAAACCGACACAGGUGGUCGGGUAGAGAAUACCAAGGCGCUUGAGAGAACUCGGGUGAAGGAACUAGGCAAAAUGGCACCGUAACUUCGGGAGAAGGUGCGCCGGCUAGGGUGAAGGAUUUACUCCGUAAGCCCUGGCUGGUCGAAGAUACCAGGCCGCUGCGACUGUUUAUUAAAAACACAGCACUCUGCAAACACGAAAGUGGACGUAUAGGGUGUGACGCCUGCCCGGUGCCGGAAGGUUAAUUGAUGGGGUUAGCGCAAGCGAAGCUCUUGAUCGAAGCCCCGGUAAACGGCGGCCGUAACUAUAACGGUCCUAAGGUAGCGAAAUUCCUUGUCGGGUAAGUUCCGACCUGCACGAAUGGCGUAACGAUGGCGGCGCUGUCUCCACCCGAGACUCAGUGAAAUUGAAAUCGCUGUGAAGAUGCAGUGUAUCCGCGGCUAGACGGAAAGACCCCGUGAACCUUUACUGUAGCUUUGCACUGGACUUUGAGCCUGCUUGUGUAGGAUAGGUGGGAGGCUUUGAAGCGUGGACGCCAGUUCGCGUGGAGCCAUCCUUGAAAUACCACCCUGGCAUGCUUGAGGUUCUAACUCUGGUCCGUAAUCCGGAUCGAGGACAGUGUAUGGUGGGCAGUUUGACUGGGGCGGUCUCCUCCUAAAGAGUAACGGAGGAGUACGAAGGUGCGCUCAGACCGGUCGGAAAUCGGUCGCAGAGUAUAAAGGCAAAAGCGCGCUUGACUGCGAGACAGACACGUCGAGCAGGUACGAAAGUAGGUCUUAGUGAUCCGGUGGUUCUGUAUGGAAGGGCCAUCGCUCAACGGAUAAAAGGUACUCCGGGGAUAACAGGCUGAUACCGCCCAAGAGUUCAUAUCGACGGCGGUGUUUGGCACCUCGAUGUCGGCUCAUCACAUCCUGGGGCUGAAGCCGGUCCCAAGGGUAUGGCUGUUCGCCAUUUAAAGUGGUACGCGAGCUGGGUUUAGAACGUCGUGAGACAGUUCGGUCCCUAUCUGCCGUGGACGUUUGAGAUUUGAGAGGGGCUGCUCCUAGUACGAGAGGACCGGAGUGGACGAACCUCUGGUGUUCCGGUUGUCACGCCAGUGGCAUUGCCGGGUAGCUAUGUUCGGAAAAGAUAACCGCUGAAAGCAUCUAAGCGGGAAACUUGCCUCAAGAUGAGAUCUCACUGGGAACUUGAUUCCCCUGAAGGGCCGUCGAAGACUACGACGUUGAUAGGCUGGGUGUGUAAGCGUUGUGAGGCGUUGAGCUAACCAGUACUAAUUGCCCGUGAGGCUUGACC
rnacentral:rRNA from 1 species